rnacentral:rRNA from 1 species
CGCCCUUUGAAAGGUUAAUAACCAAAAAAUAAAGGGUACUGCCUGCCCAGUGACGUAGAAGUUUAACGGCCGCGGUAUCUUGACCGUGCAAAGGUAGCAUAAUCAUUUGCCUUUUAAAUGGAGGCUGGAAUGAAUGGCAAGACGGAAAUUUGACUGUCUCUUUCUUAAUAGCCCUGAAUUUUAUAUCCUAGUGAAGAAGCUGGGAUGAAGUCGUGGGACGAGAAGACCCUGUUGAGCUUAAACAAUAAAAAUAGGUAUAAUUUUUCUAUUAUUAACUAAUUAAGGUUAAAAAAGUAAUUUGUUUAUAAAUUUAUUUUUAGUUGAGAAAGUAUUGUGUUUGUGUUGUUUUGGUUGGGGCAACCGCGGAGAAUAAGAAACCUCCGCUUCAAAAAGUAAAAAAGUGCAGUUUUUAUUUAGAAAGUUUCUGUAAAAGUGAUCCACCUGGCGGGUGAUCAAAGGAAAAAGUUACCACAGGGAUAACAGCGUAAUUUUUUUGGAGAGUUCAUAUUGAUAAAAAAGUUUGCGACCUCGAUGUUGGAUCGAGACUUCCCAGGGGUGCAGCAGCUCCUAAAGGUUGGUCUGUUCGACCAUUAAAGUC